rnacentral:tRNA from 1 species
GGUGUAGCUCAGUGGUAGAGAGUUUGCCUUCCAUGCAUGAGGCCCUGAGUUCAAUCCCAGGACCA